GCUGUCGUAGGCGGCAGUGUGUUCGAAGGCUUUGAUGGCGAGGUCGAAACGGGUUGCAAGCGUCAGCGAUCCUUCGUUGUCAUCCAUCUCUUUAAUAAUGGCGUCGUAGUCGCUGCUCUUCACCACGAUUGCGACAUCUUUAUGGUUCUUGGCGGCGGAGCGCACCAUCGUUGGGCCGCCGAUAUCGAUGUUCUCAACCGCAUCUUCCAGCGAGCAACCUUCACGGGCCACGGUCUGGGCGAACGGAUACAGGUUAACAACCACCAUAUCGAUAGGCUGGAUCUGAUGUUCUUCCAUAAUGGCAUCGUCCUGGCCGCGACGGCCCAGAAUGCCACCAUGUACUUUCGGAUGCAGGGUCUUCACGCGUCCAUCCAUCAUCUCCGGGAAACCGGUGUAAUCGGAAACUUCGGUUACCGGCAGACCUUUUUCUGCUAACAGACGGGCAGUGCCCCCUGUAGACAGCAGCUCCACACCGCGUGCGGAAAGUGCCUGGGCGAAUUCGACGAUACCGGCUUUGUCAGAAACACUGAGCAGAGCGCGGCGGACUGGACGACGUUGUUGCAUGGUAAAUCCCCUGGAUUUGACUAUUACAGAGAGCGUUAGCUGAAUUUUUCGCGAAAAACUCAGCUAACGCCCCUAACGGGGCAUCCUUAUUUUUCGCCCGCAUUGUAACGAAAACGUUUGCGCAACGCUCGCGAAUUUUUCUCUUUCAAUGGUGAUCACAAUUUUGACAGUGGUUACCGUGGGAAAAAUACAGAAAUUACAUUGAUGAUUGUGGAUAACUCUGUGCGUAAAAAGGUAUAAAGCGGGGUUUUGCUGGGGAAUGCAGCAGUCAGUCAUUUUUCUGCAAUUUUUCUAUUGCGGCCUGCGGAGAACUCCCUAUAAUGCGCCUCCAUCGACACGGCGGAUGUGAAUCACUUCACACAAACAGCCGGUUCGGUUGAAGAGAAAAAUCUUGAAAUUCAGGGUUGACUCUGAAAGAGGAAAGCGUAAUAUACGCCACCUCGCGACAGUGCGCUAAAGCGCGUCGCAACUGCUCUUUAACAAUUUAUCAGACAAUCUGUGUGGGCACUCGAAGAUACGGAUUCUUAACGUCGCAAGACGAAAAAUGAAUACCAAGUCUCAAGAGUGAACACGUAAUUCAUUACGA
rnacentral:rRNA from 1 species